rnacentral:rRNA from 1 species
UACGGAGGGGGCGAGCGUUAUUCGGAUUUACUGGGCGUAAAGGGCGCGUAGGCGGCUUGGUAGGUCAAAGGUGAAAGCCCUCGGCUCAACCGAGGAAUUGCCUUUGAAACCACCUCGCUAGAGGCUGGGAGGGGCUAGCGGAAUUCCUGGUGUAGCGGUGAAAUGCGUAGAUAUCAGGAGGAACACCGGUGGCGAAGGCGGCUAGCUGGACCAGUUCUGACGCUGAGGCGCGAAAGCGUGGGGAGCAAACAGGAUUAGAUACCCCAGUAGUCC